rfam:Gossypium raimondii Chr03_contig_959, whole genome shotgun sequence.
UGUUAAAAAUUUCAUCCUUUUUUACUGUUAAAAAUUAGCAUGGUUGACAGAAUAAAUAGAUAGUGGCAUGUGACAUGCCACAUGUACGUCAUAUUGAUGCAUAGGGACCAAUUUUUAACAACAAAAAUGGAUGAAAUUUUUAACA